rnacentral:tRNA from 1 species
GGUGUUGUGGUUUAGUGGUAGAGCGCUCGCCUAGCACUUGUGAGGUACUGGGUUCAAUCCUCAGCACCA